rnacentral:rRNA from 1 species
GGUUCGCCUCUAUGUUUAGAUCUAUACCCGAACUCUUACCGAACUCGAGUGUCCUUAUCUAGACAGCCACACAUACUAGUUUUUGCUGGGAACCAUGGCUCAUUUUAAAGUAUAAAAAUUAGAGUUGCACU